ACUCCUGCGGGAGGCAGCAGUGGGGAAUUUUGGACAAUGGGGGCAACCCUGAUCCAGCAAUGCCGCGUGAGUGAAGAAGGCCUUCGGGUUGUAAAGCUCUUUUGUCAGGGAAGAAACGGUGGUGGCGAAUAACUACUACUAAUGACGGUACCUGAAGAAUAAGCACCGGCUAACUACGUGCCAGCAGCCGCGGUAAUACGUAGGGUGCAAGCGUUAAUCGGAAUUACUGGGCGUAAAGCGUGCGCAGGCGGUUGUGUAAGUCAGAUGUGAAAUCCCCGGGCUCAACCUGGGAAUUGCAUUUGAGACUGCACGGCUAGAGUGUGUCAGAGGGGGGUAGAAUUCCACGUGUAGCAGUGAAAUGCGUAGAUAUGUGGAGGAAUACCGAUGGCGAAGGCAGCCCCCUGGGAUAACACUGACGCUCAUGCACGAAAGCGUGGGGAGCAAACAGGAUUAGAAACCCGUGUAGUCC
rnacentral:rRNA from 1 species